UUAAAUUUUUGCAAGUCACGAAGAAGAAUAUGCCCACUUUCCUUAGCAUUGAGCACUUGAGCUAAUUUUUUAUCGUUUGACUGGCAAUUUCCCUAUAUUUCGAUUAACCGUGUCUCAUAACUAACGCUAUAUAUUAUUCUUAUCAUAAUUAACAAUACAUUGUGUUAUUAAGAGGCAUAAUUUAUUUCGAGGAAUCUCAACAGGAUAGCAUGUAAUUUAACAACAGCAGACAGCGGUAGUACUAACUUCAGAAUCGCCAUUUAGCCCUUUUUUUCUCUUUUAGUUUUUUAGCGAGUGGAAGUUUGAUACCUUCGGGUCUUUUAGGUGACAUAAAAUCUUCCGGCUGGUUGUGUAUCGUUUCUAUUCCUUCAAGCAGAGGGGGCAAGUUGGGAAAUGUUAACCUGGUGGAGCCAAAAUAAAAAACGUCAAUCUCCAAGGACGAAGACAACCACCACGAUGACGGCAACGUGAUCCUCUCGGGCCCUUCAUCUCAUCUGCAUGAGAAUGCCGGUCUGUCCCCCGUUGCGUGUGUGCCGUUUGCAUGUCGGAUUGCAAGGUCGUCUUGCAUCGACAGACAGAUGAACCAACCUUGUCACGCACAGACUCGCGUGCCUACCUGGGGACACGCGCACACACACAUUGCUUCUGACCCCGCGAACGCACGGAACAUUUCCAAUCAGCCGCUCUCACGCAAGCGUAAAAAGAAGCCGAACGAUGUUAGCGUAAAAAGGUAGCUAACGCUGUC